AUCGACCUCAGGUCGGGCGAGAGGACCUGCUGGAUUUAAGCAUAUUACUAAGCGGAGGAAAAGAAACUAACCAGGAUUUCCCAGUAACGGCGAGCGAAGCGGGAAUAGUCCAGCGCCGAAUCCCCGGGCCCCCAGCGGGCUCACUGGAACUGUGGCGUAGGAAAGUCCGGUCCGGCAGUAGCGGCGGCACCAAGGUCCUUGUAAUGGAGGACCCUUCCGUCCCGCGGCGGGUGUCAAGCCACUGCAGGCGCCGUCCAGCCGGCGACCAUGGCUUCCGGGAGUCGUGCUGUUUUUUAGCGAAGCCCAAAGACGGGUGGUUAACUCCAUCCAAGCCUAAAUACCGACAAAAGACCGAUACAGCACAAGUACCGUAAGGGAAAGUUGAAAAGCACUCUGAAGAGAGAGUUCAAGAGUAAGUGAAGCCGUCGAGAAGCAAACGGGAGGGCCGAGGAGAUUCAGCGAGGCCGGCGCGGUGCCCGCCGCGGCCCCGCACCCCCUUCGCCGGUGGCAGGGCCCAGGGGCGCCUCUGCGCCCGGCCGCGUGCAAUUCUCCUGGGCGCGGCCCGCGACCGACAGGGCAUCCGGGCCGGCAGAGGCCGGCCGAUUGGGGUUCCUCCGGCGGGAGGACCGGUCAGAGAGCCUAGAGACCGGCCGUGAUCCCGCCAGCUGCCAGGCUGAGAAAGGGACGAUGGGCCGCGCCCGCACGUGCGCCACCACAGCCCUGCCGCCAGCCCCCUGCGACUGCGGCGGAGGAAGAGCGGGCGCGCUACGACCCGAAAGAUGGUGAACUAUGCCCGAGCAGGACCAAGCCAGAGGAAACUCUGGCGGAGGUCUGCAGCGAUUCUGACGUUGAAAUCGAUCGUCCGACUUGGGUAUAGGGGCGAAAGACUAAUUCAACCGUCUAGUGGCUGGUUCCCUCCGAAGUUUCCCUCAGGAUAGCUGGCGUCCGGAAGAGAGAGAGAGCAGUUGCAUCCGGUAAAGCGAAUGAUUAGAAGCCUUGGGGCUGAAACGACCUCAACCUAUUCUCAAACUUAAAUUGGUGCGGGGCCGGGCCCUCAAUGCACGGGCGUCCAGUGGGCCAUUCUUGGUAAGCAGGACUGGCGCUGCGGGAUGAACCUGCAUGGUUAAGGCGCCGCAUUGCGGCCGACGCUCAUCAGAUCCCAGAAAAGGUGUGGUUGGUACAGGCAGCAGGACGGUGGCCAUUAUAGUCAGAGUAUGUAACAACUCACUUGCCGAAUCAACUAGCCCUGAAAAUGGAUGGCGCUGAGCGUGCCACCCACACCUGGCCGUCGGGGCAGAGAGCAAGUGGGACCGCCGCCUGGGUGGUACGCCCCGACGGGUAGGAGGGCCGCCGCGGUGCAGGUCGAAGCGCCGGCCGCGAGGCCGCGUGGAGCCGCCGCGGGUGCAGAUCUUAGUGGUGGUAGCAAAUAUUUGAGUGAGAUCGUCGAGGGCCGAGUGGCGGAGAAGGCUUCCAUGUGAACAGCUGUUGUACAUGGGUCAGUCGAUCCUAAGCCCCAGGGAAAUUUCGUUCCGAGCGGAGGCGGAAUCGGGUCAAUAUUCCCAAACCCGCAGGCGGAGCCCUCCGUCCUUCUCGGCGGUCCGAGCUGCGAAGCAAGCGAGCCCACAGACGCCAGCCGGGGCCCCAGGAGUUUUCUUUUCUUGCUAAGGGGGGGGGGGUCUCUGGAAUCGGCUGGUUUGGAGCUAGGGGCUGCGGCCCCGUAGAGUGCCGUGUCUCUGGCGGCGCCCGGCGAGCUCCAGCCGGCCCUUGAAAAUGCAGGGGAGUGCGUGGACCGUCGGCUUGGGUCGUACCCAAAACCACAGCCGGUCUCCAAAGUGAACAGCCUCUGGUCGAUAGAACAAUGAAGGUAAGGAAGUCGGCAAGCCGAAUCCGUAACUUCGGGAGAAGGAUUGGCUCUGAGGGCUGGGUUGGUCGGGCUGGGGCAGGAAGCAGGUCGCAGCGCCCCGGCGCGGGCCGGGCGCGCCGUAUCUGGGCAGCGGAGCUCCCCCCGCCGGGCCGCGGGGCCGUCCGCGCACGGGCCCCCCUCCGACUGUCUAAUUAAAACAGAGCAUCGCAACGUCCGCAGCCGGGGCGCUGACGCAAUGUGAUUUCUGCCCAGUGCUCUGAAUUUCAAAGUGAAGAAAUUCAGCGAAGUGCGGGUAAGGUAGCCAAAUGCCCCGUCAUCUAAUUAGUGACGCGCAUGAAUGGAUUAACGAGAUUCCCACUGUCCCUAUCUAUCAAGCGAAACCACAGCCAAGGGAUCGGGCUUGGCAGAAUCAGUGGGGAAAGAAGACCCUGUCGAGCUUGACUCUAGUCUGACCUUGUGAAGAGACAUGGGGGUGUUGGAUAGGUGGAAGGGCACCGGCGCGACGGUGAAAUACCAUUACUCUUGUCGUUUCUUUACUUAGCCGGUGAGGUGGGGAGCGGGCCCCGCGCGGGCCCAGUCUUCUGGCGCUACGCGGCUAGCCGCCUCGCAACGCCGCCGGCCGCAGGCCGCCAGCCGCCAGCCGCCAGCCGCAACCCGCUCCGGCUGCCGGCCUCAGGCGGGGAGUUUGACUGGGGCGGUACAUCUGUCAAAGGGUAACGCAGGUGUCCUAAGGCGAGCUAAGCGAGGACGGAAACCUGGCGCGGAGCAAAAGGGCAAAAGCUCUUUUGAUUUUGAUUUUCAGUAUGAAUACGGAUCGUGAAAGCGUGGCCUAUCGAUCCUUUUGAGCUUCGGAGUUUGAAGCAAGAGGUGUCAGAAAAGUUACAACUGGGAUAACUGGCUUGUGGCAGCCAAGCGUUCAUAGCGGCGUUGCUUUUUUAUCCUUCGAUGCCAGCUCUUCCUAUCAUUGCGAAGCAGAAAUCGCCAAGCGUUGGAUUGUUCACCAGCCCAAUAGGCAACGUGAGCUGGGUUUAGACCGUCGAGAGACAGGUUAGUUUUACCCUACUGAUGAGAGGUCGCUGCCGGAAGCUCCGGCGGAAGCCGAACCACCGUCUCGAGAGGGACCCCACUUGCAGACGACUUGGGUAUGGAUCGGGGUGUCGUGCUGAGUAGAGCAGCCGCUUCGCUGCGAUCUGCUGAAACUAAACCUUUCGAUCCGAAAGAUUUGCCCGCACCGCAGACGGGCCUAUCCUGGUGGGCCGGGUCGGACGACGUGCCGCAGAGGAGGCAGCAUUGCCGCCGCGGGAGCGACUUCUGGGAGAGGGGCGCCGCCACACGGGGAGGCGGGGGUGGUGGGGUCGAGCAGCGGG
rnacentral:rRNA from 1 species